CAGGCUUAACACAUGCAAGUCGAGGGGCAGCAUCAUCAAAGCUUGCUUUGAUGGAUGGCGACCGGCGCACGGGUGAGUAACACGUAUCCAACCUGCCGACAACACUGGGAUAGCCUUUCGAAAGAAAGAUUAAUACCGGAUGGCAUAGUUUUUCCGCAUGGGAUAAUUAUUAAAGAAUUUCGGUUGUCGAUGGGGAUGCGUUCCAUUAGGCAGUUGGCGGGGUAACGGCCCACCAAACCAACGAUGGAUAGGGGUUCUGAGAGGAAGGUCCCCCACAUUGGAACUGAGACACGGUCCAAACUCCUACGGGAGGCAGCAGUGAGGAAUAUUGGUCAAUGGACGAGAGUCUGAACCAGCCAAGUAGCGUGAAGGAUGACUGCCCUAUGGGUUGUAAACUUCUUUUAUACGGGAAUAAAGUUAGCCACGUGUGGCUUUUUGUAUGUACCGUAUGAAUAAGGAUCGGCUAACUCCGUGCCAGCAGCCGCGGUAAUACGGAGGAUCCGAGCGUUAUCCGGAUUUAUUGGGUUUAAAGGGAGCGUAGGCGGGUUGUUAAGUCAGUUGUGAAAGUUUGCGGCUCAACCGUAAAAUUGCAGUUGAUACUGGCGACCUUGAGUGCAACAGAGGUAGGCGGAAUUCGUGGUGUAGCGGUGAAAUGCUUAGAUAUCACGAAGAACUCCGAUUGCGAAGGCAGCUUACUGGAUUGUAACUGACGCUGAUGCUCGAAAGUGUGGGUAUCAAACAGGAUUAGAUACCCUGGUAGUCCACACAGUAAACGAUGAAUACUCGCUGUUGGCGAUAUACGGUCAGCGGCCAAGCGAAAGCAUUAAGUAUUCCACCUGGGGAGUACGCCGGCAACGGUGAAACUCAAAGGAAUUGACGGGGGCCCGCACAAGCGGAGGAACAUGUGGUUUAAUUCGAUGAUACGCGAGGAACCUUACCCGGGCUUAAAUUGCAACUGACUGAACCGGAAACGGUUCUUUCUUCGGACAGUUGUGAAGGUGCUGCAUGGUUGUCGUCAGCUCGUGCCGUGAGGUGUCGGCUUAAGUGCCAUAACGAGCGCAACCCUUAUCGAUAGUUACUAGCAGGUCAUGCUGAGGACUCUAUUGAGACUGCCGUCGUAAGAUGUGAGGAAGGUGGGGAUGACGUCAAAUCAGCACGGCCCUUACGUCCGGGGCUACACACGUGUUACAAUGGGGGGUACAGAAGGCAGCUACACGGCGACGUGGUGCUAAUCCCGAAAGCCUCUCUCAGUUCGGAUUGGAGUCUGCAACCCGACUCCAUGAAGCUGGAUUCGCUAGUAAUCGCGCAUCAGCCACGGCGCGGUGAAUACGUUCCCGGGCCUUGUACACACCGCCCGUCAAGCCAUGAAAGCCGGGGGUACCUGAAGUACGUAACCGCGAGGAGCGUCCUAGGGUAAAACUGGUGAUUGGGGC
rnacentral:rRNA from 1 species